rnacentral:rRNA from 1 species
UACAGAGGUCUCGAGCGUUGUUCGGAUUCAUUGGGCGUAAAGGGUGCGUAGGUGGCCGUGUAAGUCAGAUGUGAAAUCCCGGAGCUCAACUCUGGAACUGCAUUUGAUACUGCCCGGCUAGAGUACUGGAGAGGAGACUGGAAUUUACGGUGUAGCAGUGAAAUGCGUAGAUAUCGUAAGGAAGACCAGUGGCGAAGGCGAGUCUCUGGACAGUUACUGACACUGAGGCACGAAGGCUAGGGGAGCAAACGGG